rnacentral:lncRNA from 1 species
GGAGGAGCAUGUUGCUUGUCGCUGGACGGAGGAGGUGGUGCCAGCCAACUCGGAGAUGGAGAGGGUGGAGGUGCACGUCUGGUUAGAGAGGUAGUCGUGCGCGGCUGCCUUAAUGUAGAUUUUCCUAUAGAAAUAUUAGUCUUGGUACUAGCACAUCGCCCGUGCAUUUCCCUUUUAGUUUUACAAGCAAGAUGAAACAAAUAGGUUACGUUAGAAUAGUCUUUAUAAGCAAGGAUGUCCUGAAUUUCUCAGUUUAAACCACCCAAAAGUCUAGCCAUAGCAGGUUGUAUAAAACGGGUUACGUUAGUAUAAUUUCUAAGUUACAACUCAGCACACCCCUUUGUAAUUCCUGAUAAUAUUCUUCUACACUUUUAGUACCCUGUCUCAAUUAUUGCAACUUAUUUAAUAGAUCACGUGCAU